rnacentral:lncRNA from 1 species
ACACACACACACACACACACAGAGCAAUGCAGAGGGAAGACAGAGCAAGACAGCAGGUGAGUACCCCAUUUUUUCUGAUCCCAUAGACACUCCAGGCUGAAUAGCUCUUCGCACACCACCUUUCUGCAGUGCCUGCUUUUAGAAUAAUGGAAGAAAAGGAUGCUGGGAGGAAGGCAGGAAGGAAAUCUCUGACUCACCCAGAGUGUACAGAGAUGCUUCCUGCUUAAGGGACAGACAGACUGCAGUCCAAGUCACGGACUAGAGAUGAUUAGAAAUGUCUAAAUAUGAGAAAGCUUAUUCAUAUAUAACCUCUUUUUAAAAAGAUCUACUUUUUUGGUUUUUCGAGACAGGGUUCCACUGUGUAUCCCUGGCUAUCCUGGAACUUGCUCUAUAGACCAGGCUGGCCUCAAACUCACAGGGAUCUAUCCGCCUCUGCCUCCUGAGUACUGGGAUUAAAGGCGUGCACCACCCGUGUCCAGCUAGAUUUAUUUUAUUAUUAUGUAUAUUUUAUCUCACAGGGUAACCAUGCCUGGCUUUGUACUCAAAGAUCUUCCAGCCCCCGCCUCCGAAGUGCUGGAACUAAGGCAUAUGCCCGCCAAGCCCAGCUAAAAAUUUAUUUUUAAGUUUAUGUAUGUGUAUGAGUGUGCCCACAUGUGCGUGUAGGGGCCUUAGGAGGUCAGAGGACAGGGUCGGAUAGCUGAAGCUACAGGUGGCUUUGGGCCACCAGACCCAUAAGUACUGGGACCUGAACUUGGGUCCUCCUGGAAGAUCGAUAGUGCUCUUAAGAGCAGUGCCGUCUUUCCAGCCCGUGCUUUAUUCCAUUUUUUCCUCCUCCUUACACAAAUCCUAAGACAUAGAUGAAAUAUGUGUGUGAGGGUUGCUGGGAAUUAGAUUCAAGAAGCAGAUUUACUGGCAUUGAAUAGCUUUGGAAAGGCAUCCUGUAUGGUCCUUGUCACUAGAGGCAAGGGGACAAGUCCUGAGUGGGGGUGGGAGAGGUGGGGCGGAAGGUCCGACCUUAAAAUAGUUCCCUGUGAGAAACAGGACCCCGAAGGAACCGUUCCGCAGCCCCUAUCUCCCUCCUCAUCUCCUCUUACAUUUGUUUAACUCCAGGACUUUUGGGCCCUGCUUUCCAUAAAAUUUAUUAUAUGGAAAAUAUUUUUGGUCCUUUAGCUCUCUUACCAAAUUUGAAACAUUUUAACUGGCUCCAAGAGGCCUUUAAGUCCCAUGUGUGGCUAUCUUAGAGUUGAGUCAUAUAAACUUUAUUGCCAGCCUUGGUGAAAACUGCAUUGCGUUGGGGUCACUUGUGACGUGUGUCACCCCCAAGCCGGGUCCCACUCUCCCUGGGGUUGCCAUGGAAUGACUGAGUCAACAGCCUACUUCGAGAAGUGGAGGAGCCUUCACGGGUGCUCCGUGGCGCUGUGCUCCUGUGAGAUUUGCCAUCAAAGUUUUAAU